rnacentral:snRNA from 1 species
UUCAAGGGUUUCCACAAAUCCAAC